GACGAACGCUGGCGGCGUGCCUAAUACAUGCAAGUAGAACGCACAGUUUAUACCGUAGCUUGCUGCACCAUAAACUGUGAGUUGCGAACGGGUGAGUAACGCGUAGGUAACCUGCCUGGUAGCGGGGGAUAACUAUUGGAAACGAUAGCUAAUACCGCAUAAUAUUGAUUAUUGCAUGAUAAUUGAUUGAAAGAUGCUAUUGCAUCACUACCAGAUGGACCUGCGUUGUAUUAGCUAGUAGGUGAGGUAACGGCUCACCUAGGCGACGAUACAUACCCGACCUGAGAGGGUGAUCGGCCACACUGGGACUGAGACACGGCCCAGACUCCUACGGGAGGCAGCAGUAGGGAAUCUUCGGCAAUGGACGAAAGUCUGACCGAGCAACGCCGCGUGAGUGAAGAAGGUUUUCGGAUCGUAAAGCUCUGUUGUAAGAGAAGAACGGGUGUGAGAGUGGAAAGUUCACACUGUGACGGUAUCUUACCAGAAAGGGACGGCUAACUACGUG
rnacentral:rRNA from 1 species